GCAAUCAGUGUUAUAGCAAGUGAAUGCCAUCUGUCAAGUCAAAGUCAAAGUCAAAGUUAAUACUAGUUCAUGUAUAUUUAAGUUUGCGAUUUCAAAUUCGUAAUGAUCAAUAUUAUGAUCUACAAGCUUGCAAUUUCACAUUUAUGGAUAUGAACACUCCAGUAGCAACAGGAGACAGUACAAAUUAACAGUAAUAAUAGGAGAUAAAGAGCUAUGUAUCAACAUCAAAUCAUGAUCUGCAAGUGUCUACGAUUUGCAAUUUGUAAUUAAUGUAUUAACACUCCUAUAUAUUAGCAAUAACAAUCGAGACAUUUUUGUGAAAAUCACACCUGAGAUUCCAGAUUUGGGGCACGAGAUUCCAGAUUUGCUGACAAAGUUCUUCCUAUCGCAAUCAGUGUUAUAGCAAGUGAAUGCCAUCUGUCAAGUCAAAGUCAAAGUCAAUACUAGUUCAUGUAUAUUUAAGUUUGCAAUUUCAAAUUCGUAUGAUCAAUAUUAUGAUCUACAAGCUUGCAAUUUCACAUUUAUGGAUAUGAACACUCCAGUAGCAACAGGAGACAGUACAAAUUAACAGUAAUAAUAGGAGAUAAAGAGCUAUGUAUCAACAUCAAAUCAUGAUCUGCAAGUGUCUACGAUUUGCAAUUUGUAAUUAAUGUAUUAACACUCCUAUAUAUUAGCAAUAACAAUCGAGACAUUUUUGUGAAAAUCACACCUGAGAUUCCAGAUUUGGGGCACGAGAUUCCAGAUUUCGUAGCGCUUGCGAGAAAAUAGGAUCCUGAGUUUGUUUGAGGGUUGAAAUUGAAUCAAGGGUUUUUAAACUGUAAAAAGUAACUAUUUUACUAUUAUUAUAUAUUAUAUUAUAUAUUAUAUUCAUGAUUUUUC
rnacentral:lncRNA from 1 species